CCCUUAGAUGUUCUGGGCCGCACGCGCGCUACACUGAACAGUUCAACAAGUCUUAACCUUGGCCGAUAGGUCUGGGUAAUCUUUGAACGCUGUUCGUGAUUGGGAUAGACCUUUGCAAUUAUGGGUCUUCAACGAGGAAUUCCUAGUAAACGCAAGUCAUCAGCUUGCAUUGAUUACGUCCCUGCCCUUUGUACACACCGCCCGUCGCACCUACCGAUUGAAUGGUCCGGUGAAAUCUCGGGACGGCGGCUUGGUCGCUUGCGUCCGACUGCUGAAACUUGAUUAAACCAUAUCAUUUAGAGGAAGGUGAANUCGUAGCA
rnacentral:rRNA from 1 species